CAUUUGGAACAAAUAUUAUUUUAAUUUUUUUUAAUUUACAUUUUAUGUUUUUGAGUGUAUAAGUGUUCAAGUUGAUAUUCAUUGAAUGUAAAGAAAAGUUUAAAUUGAUUGUAGAAAUAUUAUUGGCGCAAUCACGUAGAUGUUGAUUAGUUUUUAUUUUUUAAUUGAAAGUUUUAAUCAAUAUUAAAAUAUUUUUUCAGUAAAUAUGAUCAAU
rnacentral:lncRNA from 1 species